AUGCCAGACAACAGUUAUGGAAGCACCAAGGACUGGUGGUUGGAGGCGAGAAGGGCUAUUCCGAAGCAUGCGCGCCGAGACUUCGACACCAUUGUUAUCCUCAUACACUGGAGGGUUUGGAAGGAGCGGGACGCUAGAAUUUUUCAGCAAAUUGCGUGUAAUAUUGAGCGAGUUUUAGACCUCAUCAGAGAGGACAUAGGAGUUUGGAGGUCUGCAGGGUGUGUGUCCGACUUCGGGAGCUAG
rnacentral:rRNA from 1 species